rnacentral:rRNA from 1 species
UACGUAGGGCGCAAGCGUUGUCCGGAAUUAUUGGGCGUAAAGAGCUCGUAGGUGGCGUGUCGCGUCUGCCGUGAAAGCCUAUGGCUUAACUGUGGGUCUGCGGUGGAUACGGGCAGGCUGGAGGCUGGUAGGGGCAAGCGGAAUUCCUGGUGUAGCGGUGAAAUGCGCAGAUAUCAGGAGGAACACCGGUGGCGAAGGCGGCUUGCUGGGCCAGUUCUGACGCUGAGGAGCGAAAGCGUGGGGAGCGAACAGG